GGUGAGAGGACCUCCUGCCUCGCAACUCCCCAGGCUGCAGGCCUUGUGCAAGGCCAAACCAGAUCUCUAUCAGCUUUACAAGAGAGGGAAAACACUGUGUACAAGGUGAAGAGGAAGGGGUGUGGCCAGGAUGCUCUGUUGAUCUCUGGUUAGCAGAUUCCCCCAUGGUGGGGAGGGCAUACCCAGGAACCCUGAAUCUAGCCCCGUUUGUGUGUAAAUGGAGUGGUGGGCCUGGCACCUUACAGUCAAAAUAAAAAUAUAGGUACUUGGUUUAAAGGGCUUUCCAACUAAGUUAAAGGCAGAACAGCACAAAAGAACAAACAAAGGGUGCUGAGUAAUGGUAUAGGAUGGCUGAGGGUUACUCCAUUAAAACAAAUCAGAGGAUAUUAUGUCUGUUAUGUGUCUAAGUCAAGUCUGUUAUGUGCACUUCUUGUUUAGUACCAUUUUAAGAACCUUUUAAA